GAUGAACGCUGGCGGCGUGCUUAACACAUGCAAGUCGAACGAAGCAUUUGCGACAGAUUUUUUCGGAAUGAAGUUGCUUAUGACUGAGUGGCGGACGGGUGAGUAACGCGUGGGUAACCUGCCUUGUACUGGGGGAUAGCAGCUGGAAACGGCUGGUAAUGCCGCAUAAGCGCACAAUGUUGCAUGACAUGGUGUGAAAAACUCCGGUGGUAUAAGAUGGACCCGCGUCUGAUUAGCUAGUUGGUGAGAUAACAGCCCACCAAGGCGACGAUCAGUAGCCGACCUGAGAGGGUGACCGGCAACAUUGGGACUGAGACACGGCCCAGACUCCUACGGGAGGCAGCAGUGGGGAAUAUUGCACAAUGGAGGAAACUCUGAUGCAGCGACGCCGCGUGAGUGAAGAAGUAAUUCGUUAUGUAAAGCUCUAUCAGCAGGGAAGAUAGUGACGGUACCUGACUAAGAAGCUCCGGCUAAAUACGU
rnacentral:rRNA from 1 species